rnacentral:tRNA from 1 species
AAAUAUGAAGUGAUUAAUCACAAUCAGUUUCGACCUGAUUUAAGGUAUAAAUUACCCUUAUUUAGA